UACGGAGGGUGCAAACGUUGCUCGGAAUCAUUGGGCGUAAAGCGCACGUAGGCGGACCAUCAAGUCGGAUGUGAAAUCCCUCGGCUUAACCGAGGACGUGCAUUCGAAACUGAUGGCCUUGAGUACGAAAGAGGAUCGCGGAAUUCCCGGUGUAGAGGUGAAAUUCGUAGAUAUCGGGAGGAACACCAGUGGCGAAGGCGGUCUCCUGGGGCAUUCUUGACGCUGAGGCGCGAAAGCUGGGGGGAGCAAACGGGG
rnacentral:rRNA from 1 species